rnacentral:rRNA from 1 species
GACGAACGCUGGCGGCGUGCUUAACACAUGCAAGUCGAACGAAGUGGCGAACGGGUGAGUAACGCGUAAUCAACCUGCCCUUCAGAGGGGGACAACAGUUGGAAACGACUGCUAAUACCGCAUACUGAAGGUGGGGAUUGCGUCUGAUUAGCUCGUUGGAGGGGUAACGGCCCACCAAGGCGAUGAUCAGUAGCCGGGCUGGGGGGGUGAACGGCCAACAUGGGACUGAGGCACGGCCCAGACUCCUACGGGAGGCAGCAGGGGGGAAUCUUCCGAAAUGGACGAAAGUCUGACGGAGCAACGCCGCGGGAGGGAUGACGGCCUUCGGGUUGUAAAGCUCUGUUAAUCGGGACGCGGUACCGGAAGAGAAAGCCACGGCUAACUACGUGCCAGCAGCCGCGGUAAUAC